rnacentral:tRNA from 1 species
UUUUUAUGGACUUUGACUUUGAAUUUAUUCACUUAACAUAGAUAAAGUGCUUU